rnacentral:rRNA from 1 species
AUACGUAGGGGGCGAGCGUUGUCCGGAAUGAUUGGGCGUAAAGGGCGCGUAGGCGGCGCGGUAAGUCUGGAGUGAAAGUCCUGCUUUCAAGGUGGGAAUUGCUUUGGAUACUGCCGCGCUUGAGUGCAGGAGAGGUUAUCGGAAUUCCCGGUGUAACGGUGAAAUGCGUAGAGAUCGGGAGGAACACCAGUGGCGAAGGCGGGUAACUGGACUGCAACUGACGCUGAGGCGCGAAAGUGUGGGGAGCAAACAGGAUUAGAUACCCUGGUAGUCCACACUGUAAACGAUGAAUGCUAGGUGUAAGAGGUAUCGACCCCUUUUGUGCCGGAGUCAACACAAUAAGCAUUCCGCCUGGGGAGUACGGCCGCAAGGUUGAAACUCAAAUGAAUUGGCGGGG